rnacentral:rRNA from 1 species
GAUUAACGCGAAGAACCUUACCUGGGCUAGAAUGCAGAUUGACCGUGGGUGAAAGCUCAUUUUGUAGCAAUACACAGUCUGUAAGGUGCUGCAUGGCUGUCGUCAGCUCGUGCCGUGAGGUGUUGGGUUAAGUCCCGCAACGAGCGCAACCCCCAUCAUUAGUUGCCAUCAGGUCAAGCUGGGAACUCUAAUGAAACUGCCGUCGUAAGACGCGAGGAAGGAGGGGAUGAUGUCAAGUCAUCAUGGCCUUUAUGCCCAGGGCUACACACGUGCUACAAUGGAAGAGACAAAGAGCUGCCACUUGGUGACAAGGCGCUAAUCUCAAAAACUCUUUCUCAGUUCAGAUUGGAGUCUGCAACUCGACUCCAUGAAGCUGGAAUCGCUAGUAAUCGUAUAUCAGCAAUGAUACGGUGAAUACGUUCCCGGGCCUUGUACACACCGAAUCACUAGU